AACGAACGCUGGCGGCAUGCCUAACACAUGCAAGUCGAACGGGACCUUCGGGUCUAGUGGCGCACGGGUGCGUAACGCGUGGGAAUCUGCCCUUGGGUUCGGAAUAACUUCCCGAAAGGGAUGCUAAUACCGGAUGAUGUCGUAAGACCAAAGAUUUAUCGCCCAAGGAUGAGCCCGCGUAGGAUUAGCUAGUUGGUGAGGUAAAGGCUCACCAAGGCGACGAUCCUUAGCUGGUCUGAGAGGAUGAUCAGCCACACUGGGACUGAGACACGGCCCAGACUCCUACGGGAGGCAGCAGUGGGGAAUAUUGGACAAUGGGCGCAAGCCUGAUCCAGCCAUGCCGCGUGAGUGAUGAAGGCCCUAGGGUUGUAAAGCUCUUUUGUGCGGGAAGAUAAUGACGGUACCGCAAGAAUAAGCCCCGGCUAACUUCGUGCCAGCCGCCGCGGUAAG
rnacentral:rRNA from 1 species